rnacentral:rRNA from 1 species
AUUGAACGCUGGCGGCAUGCUUUACACAUGCAAGUCGGACGGCAGCGGGGUAGUGCUUGCACUACUGCCGGCGAGUGGCGAACGGGUGAGUAAUAUAUUGGAACGUACCGAGUAAUGGGGGAUAACCAAUCGAAAGAUUGGCUAAUACCGCAUACGCUCUGAGGAGGAAAGCAGGGGACCUUCGGGCCUUGCGUUAUUCGAGCGGCCAAUAUCUGAUUAGCUAGUUGGUGGGGUAAAGGCCUACCAAGGCGACGAUCAGUAGCGGGUCUGAGAGGAUGAUCCGCCACACUGGGACUGAGACACGGCCCAGACUCCUACGGGAGGCAGCAGUGGGGAAUUUUGGACAAUGGGCGCAAGCCUGAUCCAGCCAUGCCGCGUGUCUGAAGAAGGCCUUCGGGUUGUAAAGGACUUUUGUUAGGGAAGAAAAAGGAGCGGUUAAUACCCGUUUCUGCUGACGGUACUAAAGAAUAAGCACCGGCUAA